rnacentral:rRNA from 1 species
GACGUAGGGCGCGAGCGUUGUCCGGAUUUAUUGGGCGUAAAGAGCUCGUAGGCGGCUUGUCGCGUCGACUGUGAAAACCCGGAGCUCAACUCCGGGCCUGCAGUCGAUACGGGCAAACUGGAGUGUUGCAGGGGAGACUGGAAUUCCUGGUGUAGCGGUGAAAUGCGCAGAUAUCAGGAGGAACACCGGUGGCGAAGGCGGGUCUCUGGGCAACAACUGACGCUGAGGAGCGAAAGCCAGGGGAGCAAACGGG